rnacentral:tRNA from 1 species
GGUGGCGUAGCUCAGUUGGCAUGAGAGCAGGCGAUCGAUAAUCGCCCGGUCGCAAGUUCGAUUCUUGCCGCCACCACCA